CCCUUAGAUGCUCUGGGCCGCACGCGCGCUACACUGGUCGAUGCAACGAGUUUCUUUCCUUGGCCGACAGGCCUGGGCAAUCUUUGAACAUCGAUCGUGAUCGGGAUAGAUUCUUGUAAUUUUUGAUCUUAAACGAGGAAUUCCUAGUAAACGCAAGUCAUCGGCUUGCAUUGAUUACGUCCCUGCCCUUUGUACACACCGCCCGCCGCACCUACCGAUUGAAUGGUCCGGUGAAAUCUCCGGACUGGCGUGAGUCGGAGCAAUCUGACAAACACCGGAAAGUUGAUUAAACCUUACCAUUUAGAGGAAGGUGAAGUCGUAACA
rnacentral:rRNA from 1 species